UACGUAGGGUGCGAACGUUGUCCGGAAUUAUUGGGCGUAAAGAGCUCGUAGGCGGUCUGUCGCGUCGGUCGUGAAAACCUGCAGCUUAACUGUGGGCGUGCGGUCGAUACGGGCAUGACUGGAGUUCGGCAGGGGAGACUGGAAUUCCUGGUGUAGCGGUGAAAUGCGCAGAUAUCAGGAGGAACACCGGUGGCGAAGGCGGGUCUCUGGGCCGAUACUGACGCUGAGGAGCGAAAGCGUGGGGAGCAAACAGG
rnacentral:rRNA from 1 species